rnacentral:rRNA from 1 species
GAUGAACGCUGGCGGCGUGCCUAAUACAUGCCAGUCGAGCGAACAGACGAGGAGCUUGCUCCUUUGACGUUAGCGGCGGACGGGUGAGUAACACGUAGGUAACCUACCUAUAAGACUGGGAUAACUUCGGGAAACCGGAGCUAAUACCGGAUAAUAUUUCGAACCGCAUGGUUCGAUAGUGAAAGAUGGCUUUGCUAUCACUUAUAGAUGGACCUGCGCCGCAUUAGCUAGUUGGUAAGGUAACGGCUUACCAAGGCAACGAUACGUAGCCGACCUGAGAGGGUGAUCGGCCACACUGGAACUGAGACACGGUCCAGACUCCUACGGGAGGCAGCAGUAGGGAAUCUUCCGCAAUGGGCGAAAGCCUGACGGAGCAACGCCGCGUGAGUGAUGAAGGUCUUCGGAUCGUAAAACUCUGUUAUUAGGGAAGAACAAACGUGUAAGUAACUGUGCACGUCUUGACGGUACCUAAUCAGAAAGCCACGGCUAACUACGUG